GAUGAACGCUAGCGGGAGGCCUAACACAUGCAAGCCGAGCGGUAUUGUUUCUUCGGAAAUGAGAGAGCGGCGUACGGGUGCGUAACACGUGUGCAACCUGCCUUUAUCUGGGGGAUAGCCUUUCGAAAGGAAGAUUAAUACUCCAUAAUAUAUUGAACGGCAUCGUUUAAUAUUGAAAGCUCCGGCGGAUAGAGAUGGGCACGCGCAAGAUUAGCUAGUUGGUGAGGUAACGGCUCACCAAGGCGAUGAUCUUUAGGGGGCCUGAGAGGGUGAUCCCCCACACUGGUACGGAGACACGGACCAGACUCCUACGGGAGGCAGCAGUGAGGAAUAUUGGUCAAUGGGUGCAAGCCUGAACCAGCCAUCCCGCGUGAAGGACGACUGCCCUAUGGGUUGUAAACUUCUUUUGUAUAGGGAUAAACCUACCCUCGAGAGGGUAGCUGAAGGUACUAUACGAAUAAGCACCGGCUAACUCCGUG
rnacentral:rRNA from 1 species